GACGCUCUUUGGUGCAUCUUGGCAGGAGGCUCGGUUGUUGGGGUGAUGAGGAGCUUAGCCCCAAGAUAGCUUCCAGGAUUCAAGGUCCAGGAGGAUCCCACACACGAGGGCCUUCGGAAUGUGCCUGUGCACUCUCGCGGUAGCUGUGUGCAAGCGGAUGUCCUGGCGCGUAUGCCUAGGAGCGCGGCUGCUGCCCAGCCUGGGGAGACACUUUCCCACUGGCUUUCCAAGCAGGUUUCCCUCCUCGAGUGCCCUUUCUCAUCGUCCUGCCAUCAAGAUUUUUUAAAAAGUAAAACAAGCCUGAAGUGUUUUGCAUAAGUACAACUUGGAAGUGCUUCCAUAUCCACAAUGAUAUGACACACAAGGUGUCCUCUCCUUCGGCUGAGUGGAUGCGUGGGGGUCACCGGCAUAGUUCCGUUUCCACCCGGAAACGGGUGGAUGUAAGUUGGUUUCCCGGCUUUGAUUCCCAGAAGACCCUGUUUCUCCUAUUCCUCAGAAGGAACCCCCACUACUUGAAGCAACUCAAGCAGAUUUUCUCCUAGUAAGCAGCAAAACUGAACACACCUCUUAUUUCCCGAUAUUCUCAGUUUGAACACAAGGGCAGGUUCUGGGUCCCCCCCCCACCUCGCCCCGCCCCUCG
rnacentral:lncRNA from 1 species